GAUGAACGCUGGCGGCGUGCCUAAUACAUGCAAGUCGAGCGAAUGGAUUAAGAGCUUGCUCUUAUGAAGUUAGCGGCGGACGGGUGAGUAACACGUGGGUAACCUGCCCAUAAGACUGGGAUAACUCCGGGAAACCGGGGCUAAUACCGGAUAACAUUUUGAACCGCAUGGUUCGAAAUUGAAAGGCGGCUUCGGCUGUCACUUAUGGAUGGACCCGCGUCGCAUUAGCUAGUUGGUGAGGUAACGGCUCACCAAGGCAACGAUGCGUAGCCGACAGGACAGGGUGAUCAGCCAACCUAGGACUGGGACACGGCCCAGACGCCUACGGGAGGCAGCAGUAGGGAAUCUUACGCAAUGGACUAAAGUCUGACGUAGCAACGCCGCGUGAGUGAUGAAGGCUUUCGGGUCGUAAAACUCUGUUGUUAGGGAAGAACAAGUGCUAGUUGAAUAAGCUGGCACCUUGACGGUACCUAACCAGAAAGCCACGGCUAACUACGUGCCAGCCGCCGCGGUAA
rnacentral:rRNA from 1 species